UCCCCAUAAAUUGACAGGAAUAGGUGUA
rnacentral:piRNA from 1 species